UACGUAGGGUGCAAGCGUUGUCCGGAAUUAUUGGGCGUAAAGAGCUCGUAGGCGGUCUGUCGCGUCUGCUGUGAAAACUCGGGGCUUAACCCCGGGCCUGCAGUGGGUACGGGCAGACUAGAGUGCGGUAGGGGGAGACUGGAAUUCCUGGUGUAGCGGUGAAAUGCGCAGAUAUCAGGAGGAACACCGGUGGCGAAGGCGGGUCUCUGGGCCGUAACUGACGCUGAGGUGCGAAAGCGUGGGGAGCAAACAGG
rnacentral:rRNA from 1 species